rnacentral:rRNA from 1 species
UACAGAGGGUGCAAGCGUUGUUCGGAAUUAUUGGGCGUAAAGGGCGCGUAGGCGGUCGUGACAAGUCACUUGUGAAAUCUCCGGGCUUAACUCGGAACGGUCAAGUGAUACUGUCGGACUAGAGUACAGAAGGGGCAACUGGAAUUCUCGGUGUAGCGGUGAAAUGCGUAGAUAUCGAGAGGAACACCUGCGGCGAAGGCGGGUUGCUGGGCUGAUACUGACGCUGAGGCGCGAAAGCCAGGGGAGCGAACGGG